rnacentral:rRNA from 1 species
UGGAAUCGCUAGUAAUCGCGGAUCAGAAUGCCGCGGUGAAUACGUUCCCGGGUCUUGUACACACCGCCCGUCACACCAUGGGAGUCGGAAAUGCCCGAAGUCUGUGACCCAACCGUAAGGAGGGAGCAGCCGAAGGCAGGUCGGAUGACUGGGGUGAAGUCGUAACAAGGUACC